ensembl:lncRNA
GACAUUAUUCCGAUACAGAGAAGGAGAUACUGGAAUUAUUAUUAGUAUCUAUGCAUGCAUUUGUGAUAUCAUUUGACUUUUCCAUUGCUCACAAUUUGAAUUUGUUCACACUGAUGGCACAGUGUGGCGUGAGAACAGGUGGGGACGCCUCUCCCUUUCACCCCAAUCAAAGCGUACGCUGCAGAUGGAGAGCCAACGGCUAAGGCCAGGAAAAGUAUCUCGAGUCGCCUUCAGAGCUUCCUGUGUUUCAUCACUCUUGACAUGCUUCAUAGCAUUCAAGAAUGGACUAUUCAACAUGCACAGGAAACGGAGCAUGUUCAUUGGUUCAUGGCUCUCCCUGAACUAAUGGCAUUUAUUGCAAUUGUCAUCUUGCGGGGGCUUACCAAGGUUCCAUCACUACGUGAUUGCUGGUCAGCAAACCUGGGAAACCCACAUAUCAUUGGAACAAUGCCGCGAAACCGCUUCCAAGACAUCAUGGGACACCUACGCUUUGAUGACAGGUCCACCCGGAGUGAUCAAGCAAAGACUGAUAAGUUUGCUGCAAUUUCCAGUGUGUGGGGAUCAUUUGUCACCAAUUGCAUCAAUUCCUACAACCCUGGACUACAUAUCACCGUUGAUGAACAGCUUUUCCCGUCAAAGACGGAAUUUCUUCACAUCGCUGUCACUUGCGCAUAAACUUCUUAGCCGGAAAACCACCAUCCUCGGCACAGUCAACAAGAUUCGCCGGGAAAUCCCUCAAUCCGCUAGACACACAGAUCGCAAUGAAUUCACCACUCAGGUGUUUUCAACCACUGCUGCUACGCUGACGGCGUAUGCGCCCAAACGGAAGAAGACCGUCUACAUUCUUAGCAGCAUGCACAGCGUGAUUCAGACUGAUAAUACCACCAAAAGGAAGCCAAACACUGUCACCCUUUACAACACCACAAAGUGCGGCGUGGAUGUGAUGGACCAGAUGGUGCGGGAGUACACUUUCCGCACAGGGACAUGGCGCUGGCCAGUUGCCGUGUUCUAUAACAUGAUUGACAUGGCAGCACUGAAUGCACAUGUGCUGUAUCAAGCAUGCACUGGAAGGCAGGAAAGAUGGGUGGACUUCCUGGUGGAGCUUGCAAGAGAGUUGGCUAACUCUCAUAUGUGUGCGAAGAAGGCAAGAAAAGAACAAUUGCUUCGGACACAACCCUCCACACCUAGCCCUGGAAAAAGAGCCAUGUGUCAGGUCAAACACCAAUGCAAGAACAAUCAUGCCACUGUGCGAUGUGUUCACUGCUACAGAUACACAUGUGGUAAAUGCAGACGGGAGAUACGAAGUGAAGUGAAGUGACGUGACAUUCAGCCAAGUAUGGCAGUAUACCAUGGCAGUGCCAGGAUUGUGAGUGAUUGCUGGAAUGUACUCACUCACUUUUUAAUAUUAUUUGUAAAUAUGUGUACAAAUGGUUGGUUUCUUUAUUUUGUACUAUUUUUAUCAAUAAAUCUCAGCAACAAAGGAAAAAAAAAACGUGUGUUGAUUUCUCCCUAAGAUGGCAAAGUGAAACACAAGUUUCCUUGAAGUGGCUCAGCAUGGCCCCACAUUGUUUACAUAACAAAAGAAACUGUUCACAGCUGAUUAAGGAUAUUAGCCUAAAGCCUUUCAGCCCAUCGGCUGUCCUGCGGGUUUUAUAGGUAGAAAAGCCAAAUGGCUGCUCUCUGGGACUUCUAGUGUUAAACACCUUAUUUUUUUAUAUAUUUUACCUUUAUUGUAAGCCACUGUCUCCAUCGUAAUUUGAAUGGCUGGUUGACUUCCUGUUUCUAUGAUGCCACUCCCUCAGAAAUACGCAAUGGGCUCUGAUUGGUUAGCUGGCCCAGUGUGUUGUGAUUUGUUAACCGUGUGCUCCACGUUGUCCAAAAACUUCAUGCCCAGUACCAUUACAGGCAAUAGUUGCAUGUGCUCUGGUGGAAGGUAAAUAAUGGUGUCAGUAUUGCCGUAUUAAUUUAAGGUGUGAUUACAUAGAAGUUUGUUGAGGCCCCGCCCCGGCCCGGCUACGUGCCCAAGGUUCCCACUACACUCUUCAAAGACCAAGUGGUGAACCUGCAAGCGCUGCCCCUAGAGGAGACAGACCCAGCCCUGGCUUUGCUUUGUCCCGUCCGAGCACUGAGAUGCUACGUAGACCGGACACAAAGCUUCAGGACCUCAGACCAGCUCUUUGUCUGUUACGGAGUCCGGCAGAAGGGGAAUGCCGUCUCUAAGCAGAGGAUGGCCCACUGGAUUGUGGAUGCCGUAACCCUGGCUUAUCAGGCAGAGGGUGUGCCCUGCCCGUUGAGGUUGCGAGCUCACUCAACUAGAAGUGUUGCAUCCUCCUGUGAGCUGGCUUGUGGCACCUCGCUGAUAGAUAUUAGUAGAGCUGCGGGCUGGGCGACCCCUAACACGUUCGCUAGGUUCUAUAGCCUUCGUGUAGAGCCGGUAUCCCCCUGUGUUCUCACCUCAAACGGGUAGUGGCACCGAGAGGCUUGCUAAAACUGCUCCAGAGUGUCCGUACUGUAGACCCUGUUGAGAUCCUCCAUUACCCUAGGCAGCUAGAUGCGUCGGAACGUCCGGCGCCAGGCCUUCAUGAUGAAUCCGUGAGAACCAUGGAAGGCUGGGUUCCAUAUUGAGACCUAAGCAGUACUCGUACGUGUAUAGUCCACGGUAUAGCCUUAGAGCCCGUGUUUCCCCAGCAGACUUCUGCCUUCCCAAGAGGGUUUGAAUCACCUGAAAUUUCUCCAUAUACACCUAAACGGAUGCUAUAUGUGUAUUUGUUUCCGAAAACUCCUUCGGGAAGGAUGGGGCUUCCGCAGCGUCCCUGUUCUAAGCAGAACGGGUACGUUUUCCCAGUGUUAUCCAGUCUCACCCAGUGAGGUAGUGCUUUGACAAUGGUGAGUGGAACUGCUUGUUCCGAACCCCGGCCUACACCUAAUAGGGGCGCAGGUGGCUCGCACAGGGCACUGGAAGGGGCAUCACCCAUGGCCCUUUGGUAGCGAUCCCAUUUUCGUCGGUCACCGACAUGGUGUCGAGAGUGACUGACUCAAAGGGAACGUCUCGGUUACGUAUGGUAACCCUCGUUCCCUGAAGGAGGGAAUGGAGACGUCACGUCCCGUCGCCAUGGUUGCUGUUCAGCCGCUGAGCUGCCGGGUCUCCGGCUCGUCUCCUAAGAGAAAACCUGGUAUGCAUUGCACCUGCUGCCUUAUUAUACUCACGCUGUGAUCAGCGACAGCUGGAUGCAAUAAUUGCAUGCCAAUGUUCAUUGGCUCGUUUAGUUUACAUUCGAAGUAGAUUGGCCUAUCGAAGUGAUAUCCUAUUUUCGUCGGUCACCAACGUGGCCUCUCCGUUCCCUCCUGGGUCAUGUGAUGACUUUGUUGUUUUUAAACUCAACCUGUGCAUGAGCAAGAGAGAUAAUAUUCCAGUGUGAAGCACUGCCUCUGGUGGUCAGUAAGAACGAAAUAGAACUUAUAUUCAGAGUCAGUUACCAUAGUAACUUACACUGUGAACCUAACCUGGUCAGGAGCAGAUUUUCUUCAUUUAAACUCAGAGUUUCUUUUAGUCUCCUCCACUGUUUAAUGUGUAAGCGAUGUUUAAAUUCCUCAGUCAUUCAAUUCAUGCUGCAAAAAAAAAGAAAAAUGCAUUUCUUAGUGAGUAUUUUAGAAUCUAAAUUAAGUGCAUUUUACUUAAAACAAGAACAAAAUAAAUGAAUGCAAAUGGAAAC